rnacentral:rRNA from 1 species
GACAGAGGAGGCAAGCGUUAUCCGGAAUUAUUGGGCGUAAAGCGUGCGCAGGCGGCGAUUCAAGUCUGCUGUCAAAGGUCGGGGCUUAACCCCGGGAAGGCAGUGGAAACUGAUUAGCUAGAGUGCGGUAGGGGCAGAGGGAAUUCCCGGUGUAGCGGUGAAAUGCGUAGAGAUCGGGAAGAACACCAGUGGCGAAAGCGCUCUGCUGGGCCUGCACUGACACUGAGGGACGAAAGCUAGGGGAGCGAAAGGG